CCGAAAACAUGGUUAGCUGUGCCGCUUGUGGCUAUUCCCUGACACCAAAACAUAAAGAUGAUGGUGUUACAUUUCACAGCUUUCCUAAAAAUCAGACGAGAAGAUCGCAAUGGGUAAAUUUUGUCAAAAACCCUGAGUUUAUCCCCAAAAACAGUAGUGUACACACAAUGUAUACGAAAUUAAUUUUAUUUAAAGGCCAAUAAAUUUGUAUUUUUGA